rnacentral:rRNA from 1 species
UCGCCUCCAGCGUUAAUUGUAGGUACGGCCUGCCCAAUGAUUUUUAAUGGCCGCAGUAUUUUGACUGUGCAAAGGUAGCAUAAUCACUUGUCUCUUAAUUGGAGGCUCGUAUGAAUGGCUAGACGUGGAAAUAACUGUCUCUAAGAUUAUAAAACUUAAUUUUUAAGUCAAAAAGCUUAAAUAAUUCAGCAGGACGAGAAGACCCCAUAGAUCUUUAUAUCGAUACAUUUAAAAAGUAUAGCCGUCAUUACUUUAAAGGACAUAAAUAUUUUGUUGGGGUGACAAGAAGUAAUAAACACUUUAUGAACAAACGCCAAUAGUUGGUUAAAUGACCCGGUCCGCCGAUUAAAAAAUUAAGUUACCUUGGGGAUAACAGCGUAAUCUGCUUUAGAGUCCCUAUCAAACAGCAGGGUUGCGACCUCGAUGUUGGAUUAAGAAUCUCCCCAUGAGCAGUCCCUUGGUUGAGGGGUCUGUUCGACCCAUAAAUUCUUACAUGA